rnacentral:rRNA from 1 species
AUUCAAAUCCUUUAACGAGGAUCUAGCGGAGGGCAAGUCUGGUGCCAGCAGCCGCGGUAAUUCCAGCUCCGCAGGUGUAUAUCUAUGCUGCUGCGGUUAAAAAGCUCGUAGUUGGAUCUGCGUGCUCGGAACUGGUUGGCUCACUGAGUUCAAACUGGUCUCCGGCGCUUUAUUGGCUGGUUUUCCCUUGAUGCUCUUAACCGGGUGUCUUGGGUGGCUAGCACGUUUACUUUGAAAAAAUUAGAGUGCUCAAUACAGGCGUAAAGCCUUGAAUAGUGGUGCAUGGAAUAAUAGAAUAGGACCUCGGCUCUAUUUUGUUGGUUUUCGGAACGCGAGGUAAUGAUUAAGAGGGACAGACGGGGGCAUUCGUAUUGCGACGUUAGAGGUGAAAUUCUUGGAUCGUCGCAAGACGGACGACUGCGAAAGCAUUUGCCAAGAAUGUUUUCAUUAAUCAAGAACGAAAGUUAGAGGUUCGAAGGCGAUCAGAUACCGCCCUAGUUCUAACCGUAAACGAUGCCAACUAGCGAUUCGCAGGCGUUAAACAACGACCUUGCGGGCAGCUUCCCGGAAACGAAAGUGUUCGGGUUCCGGGGGAAGUAUGGUUGCAAAGCUGAAACUUAAAGGAAUUGACGGAAGGGCACCACCAGGAGUGGAGCCUGCGGCUUAAUUUGACCCAACACGGGAAAACUCACCCGGCCCGGACACCGUAAGGAUUGACAGAUUGAGAGCUCUUUCUUGAUUCGGUGGGUGGUGGUGCAUGGCCGUUCUUAGUUGGUGGAGCGAUUUGUCUGGUUUAUUCCGAUAACGAACGAGACUCUGGCCUACUAAAUAGUGGGCGGAUUCUUUCUGUCCGCAACACUUCUUAGAGGGACAAGCGGUGUUCAGCCGCACGAGAUUGAGCAAUAACAGGUCUGUGAUGCCCUUAGAUGUCCGGGGCCGCACGUGCGCUACACUGAAGGAAUCAGCGUGCUUCUGACCUUGCCCGAAAGGGCUGGGUAACCCGAUGAAAAUCCUUCGUGAUUGGGAUAGGGACUUGCAAUUAUUUCCCUUGAACGAGGAAUUCCCAGUAAGUGUGGGUCAUAAGCUCGCGUUGAUUACGUCCCUGCCCUUUGUACACACCGCCCGUCGCUGCCCGGAACUGAGCCGUUUCGAGAAGAACAGGGACCGUCGUUGAAGGGCCUUAACGGGCUUUUCUCUGAUAGAAACUGUU